CCAAUAGCGUAUAUUAAAGUUGUUGCAGUUAAAAAGCUCGUAGUUGAAUUUCGGGAUCAAUACGUCGGUCGUGCCUUCGGUAUGAACUGGUGUCAUUGAUUCCUCCCUUCUGACGAAGCAUAAUGUCAUUAAUUUGAUGUUGUGGGGAGUUAGGACUGUUACUUUGAAAAAAUUAGAGUGUUUAAAGCAGGCCUAGGCUUGAAUACAUUAGCAUGGAAUAAUGAAAUAGGACGUUCGAACCUAUUUUGUUGGUUUCUAGGAUCAACGUAAUGAUUAAUAGGGAUAGUUGGGGGCAUUAGUAUUCAAUUGUCAGAGGUGAAAUUCUUGGAUUUAUUGAAGACUAACUACUGCGAAAGCAUUUGCCAAGGAUGUUUUCAUUAAUCAACAACGAAAGUUAGGGGAUCGAAGACGAUCAGAUACCGUCGUAGUCUUAACCAUAAACUAUGCCGACUAGGGAUCGGAUGAUGUUAAUUUUUUAAUGACUCAUUCGGCGCCUUACG
rnacentral:rRNA from 1 species